AAGUCGUAACAAGGUUUCCGUAGGUGAACCUGCGGAAGGAUCAUUAACACGUAUCCAACGUUAAAACCCCUGUGAACCUUUAUUCGCCGCUCCCAGGGCUCAGUCGCGUAAAGUUAGCAAUCCCUGUACUCGUCCGAGAAAUGAAGGAGAAGGGACUUCUGGCAGUGCACCCUGGUUUCAGAGCGCUUGGUUAGUGGCUUGUUUUUCCCCAAGCAAUCAGUGAAUGAAAGUGUCACUGGUUGUCUAAGGAUUUCGCCUAAACAGCGAUCACUGGAGGUCGAUCACCGACCGGUGGAUCAAGUCACAGGAGCUUCGGCUUCCCUCCCCAACCCCACUUCCUAUUGCCGCUCCGCGCUAACAACGCCGGGCAUUAAAAAACGUACUAAACAACUGUUAACAAUGGAUAUCUUGGUUCUC
rnacentral:misc_RNA from 1 species